rnacentral:ncRNA from 1 species
CAAUAGAGGCGCGGAGGACAGGGUACUGUGUUUUUGGGAUCAGACCCCCGGGAAGAGCAUGGGAAGGGGUUCUCCGCCGAAGGGAUCGGACGAGUCUGAGCGGUCGGUUCCUGGCAGCGCGGUGUAAGCGGCGCUGCUGUCAUGUAGUGAUACAUGGAGCGCUAUUGGU